GGGGAGGUGGCUCAGUGGUGAAGCGAAUGCCUUGAAAGCAUGAGAACCUGAGUUAAACCCUUAGCAUCCUUU
rnacentral:tRNA from 1 species